rnacentral:rRNA from 1 species
GACGAACGCUGGCGGCGUGCUUAACACAUGCAAGUCGAACGGUGAACCUGCUUCGGCGGGGGAUCAGUGGCGAACGGGUGAGUAACACGUGGGCAACCUGCCCUCAGCUCUGGGAUAACUCCAAGAAAUUGGGGCUAAUACUGGAUAUGACCGCUGACCGCAUGGUCUGGUGGUGGAAAGAUUUAUCGGCUGGGGAUGGGCCCGCGGCCUAUCAGCUUGUUGGUGGGGUAGUGGCCUACCAAGGCGACGACGGGUAGCCGGCCUGAGAGGGUGACCGGCCACACUGGGACUGAGACACGGCCCAGACUCCUACGGGAGGCAGCAGUGGGGAAGAUUGCGCAAUGGGCGAAAGCCUGACGCAGCGACGCCGCGUGGGGGAUGACGGCCUUCGGGUGGUAAACCUCUUUCAGCAGGGACGAAGCGAAAGUGACGGUACCUGCAGAAGAAGCACCGGCCAACUACGUG